AUUGAACGCUGGCGGCAGGCCUAACACAUGCAAGUCGAGCGGAGCGGCGGACGGGUGAGUAAUGCCUAGGAAUCUGCCUGGUAGUGGGGGAUAACGUCCGGAAACGGGCGCUAAUACCGCAUACUCUCAGAUGAGCCUAGGUCGGAUUAGCUAGUUGGUGGGGUAAAGGCCUACCAAGGCGACGAUCCGUAACUGGUAUGAGAGGAUGAUCAGUCACACUGGAACGGAGUCACAGUCCAGAAUCCUACAGGAGGAAGCAGUGGGGAAUAUAGGACAAUGGGAGAAAGCCUGAUACAGCCAUGCCGCGUGUGUGAAGAAGGUCUUCGGAUUGUAAAGCACUUUAAGUUGGGAAGCGUUACAAACAGAAUAAGCACCGGCUAACUACGUGCCAGCAGCCGCGGUAAUAC
rnacentral:rRNA from 1 species